AGUGAACGCUGGCGGUAGGCCUAACACAUGCAAGUCGAACGGCAGCACAGUAAGAGCUUGCUCUUACGGGUGGCGAGUGGCGGACGGGUGAGGAAUACAUCGGAAUCUACUUUUUCGUGGGGGAUAACGUAGGGAAACUUACGCUAAUACCGCAUACGACCUACGGGUGAAAGCAGGGGAUCUUCGGACCUUGCGCGAUUGAAUGAGCCGAUGUCGGAUUAGCUAGUUGGCGGGGUAAAGGCCCACCAAGGCGACGAUCCGUAGCUGGUCUGAGAGGAUGAUCGGCCACACUGGAACUUGGACACGGUCCAGACUCCUACGGGAGGCAGCAGUGGGGAAUAUUGGACAAUGGGCGCAAGCCUGAUCCAGCCAUACCGCGUGGGUGAAGAAGGCCUUCGGGUUGUAAAGCCCUUUUGUUGGGAAAGAAAAGCGGCAGGUUAAUACCCCGCUGUUCUGACGGUACCCAAAGAAUAAGCACCGGCUAACUUCGUG
rnacentral:rRNA from 1 species